UCCCGUUGAUCCUGCGGGAGGUCGCUGCUAUUGGGAUCCGAUUAAGCCAUGCAAGUUUGUUCUCUUUAGGGGACGGCAAAAUGCUCAGUAACACGUCGAUAAUCUAACCUUAGGUCCAGCAUAACCUUGGGAAACUGAGGCUAACACUGGAUGGGAGAAUAUUUCUGGAAUGAAUUUUCUCUGAAAAGUAAUGCCUAAGGAUGAGUCGGCGGCGGAUUAGGCUGUUGGUGGGGUAAUGGCCCACCAAACCAAUGAUCCGUAGGGGCCGUGAGAGCGGUAGCCCCGAGAAGGGUACUGAGAUACUGACCCUAGCCCUACGGGGUGCAGCAGGCGCGAAACCUUUACAAUGCACGCAAGUGUGAUAAGGGGAUCCCAAGUGCUCAUGUUUUACAUGGGCUUUUGCCAAGUGUAAAUAACUUGGCGAAUAAGUGGUGGGCAAGACUGGUGCCAGCCGCCGCGGUAACACCAGCGCCACGAGUGGUGACCGCAUUUAUUGGGCCUAAAGCGUCCGUAGCCGGUUUAGUAAAUCCUUUGUGAAAUCGUCAGGCUCAACUUGACGGCGUGCAGAGGAGACUGCUAAACUUGGAACCGGGAGGAGCUAGAGGUAUUUCGAGGGGAGCGGUAAAAUGUUAUAAUCCUCGGAAGACCACCUGUGGCGAAGGCGUCUAGCUAGAACGGAUUCGACGGUGAGGGACGAAAGCCAGGGGAGCAAACCGGAUUAGAUACCCGAGUAGUCCUGGCUGUAAACUCUGCGAGCUAGGUGUUGCACAUUUUUCGUGAAUGUGCAGUAUCGGAGUGAAGAUGUUAAGCUCGCCGCCUGGGAAGUACGGUCGCAAGACUGAAACUUAAAGGAAUUGGCGGGGGAGCACCACAAGGGGUGCGGCGUGCGGUUUAAUCUAAUUCAACACAGAGAAUCUCACCAGAGGCGACGGCAGGAUGAAGGUCAGGCUAAAGGUCUUACCUGACGAGCCGAGAGGUAGUGCAUGGCCGCCGUCAGCUCGUGCUGUAAGGUGUCCUGUUAAGUCAGGCAGCGAGCGAGACCUGUAUCCACAAUUGCUAGCAAGUCCUUCGGGAUGAUUGAGCACAUUGUGGGAACUGCCCUGGAAACAGGGAGGAAGGUGCAGGCUACGGUAGGUCUGUAUGCUCCGAAUCCUCUGGGCUACACGCGCGCAACAAUGGUAGGGACAAUGGGAUACAACUCCGAAAGGAGAAGUUAAUCCUCGAAACCCUACCUCAGUUCAGAUUGAGGGUUGUAACUCACCCUCAUGACGAUGGAAUCCCUAGUAAUUGGACGUCAUCAAGCGUCCAGUGAAUAUGUCCCUGCUCCUUGCACACACCGCCCGUCAAACCACUCGAGCCGGGUUUGGGUGAGGGUUAAUUCUUUGAUUAAUCCGAACCUUAGCUUAGUGAGAAGGGUUAAGUCGUCACAAGGUA
rnacentral:rRNA from 1 species